GAUGAAGAACGCAGCGAAAUGCGAUAAGUAAUGUGAAUUGCAGAAUUCCGUGAAUCAUCGAAUCUUUGAACGCAUAUUGCGCCCUCUGGCAUUCCGGGGGGCAUGCCUGUCCGAGCGUCAUUAUUUAUCUUCAAGCACGGCUUGUGUGUUGGGCCUCCGUCCUCCUCCCGGGGGACGGGCCCGAAAGGCAGCGGCGGCACCGCGUCCGGUCCUCGAGCGUAUGGGGCUUCGUCACCCGCUCUUGUAGGCCCGGCCGGCGCUUGCCGACACAUCAAUCUUUUUUCCAGGUUGACCUCGGAUCAGGUAGGGAUACCCGCUGAACUUAAGCAUAUCAAUAAGCGGAGGA
rnacentral:misc_RNA from 1 species